rnacentral:rRNA from 1 species
UACGGAGGAUGCGAGCGUUAUCCGGAUUCAUUGGGUUUAAAGGGUGCGUAGGCGGCUUUUUAAGUCAGUGGUGAAAUCCUGUCGCUUAACGAUAGAAUUGCCAUUGAUACUGAAGAGCUUGAGUACAAUUGAGGUAAGCGGAAUGUGUAGUGUAGCGGUGAAAUGCUUAGAUAUUACACAGAACACCGAUUGCGAAGGCAGCUUACUAAACUGUUACUGACGCUGAUGCACGAAAGCGUGGGGAGCGAACAGG